rnacentral:rRNA from 1 species
GACGAACGCUGGCGGCGUGCCUAAUACAUGCAAGUAGAACGCACAGUUUAUACCGUAGCUUGCUACACCAUAGACUGUGAGUUGCGAACGGGUGAGUAACGCGUAGGUAACCUGCCUGGUAGCGGGGGAUAACUAUUGGAAACGAUAGCUAAUACCGCAUAAUAUUAAUUAUUGCAUGAUAAUUAAUUGAAAGGUGCAAUUGCACCACUACCAGAUGGACCUGCGUUGUAUUAGCUAGUAGGUGAGGUAACGGCUCACCUAGGCGACGAUACAUAGCCGACCUGAGAGGGUGAUCGGCCACACUGGGACUGAGACACGGCCCAGACUCCUACGGGAGGCAGCAGUAGGGAAUCUUCGGCAAUGGACGAAAGUCUGACCGAGCAACGCCGCGUGAGUGAAGAAGGUUUUCGGAUCGUAAAGCUCUGUUGUAGGAGAAGAACGGGGGUGAGAGUGGAAAGUUCACACUGUGACGGUAGCUUACCAGAAAGGGACGGCUAACUACGUG